AUUGAACGCUGGCGGCAUGCCUUACACAUGCAAGUCGAACGGUAACAGGUCUUCGGAUGCUGACGAGUGGCGAACGGGUGAGUAAUGCAUCGGAACGUGCCCAGUUGUGGGGGAUAACUGCUCGAAGGAGCAGCUAAUACCGCAUACGACCUGAGGGUGAAAGCGGGGGAUCGCAAGACCUCGCGCAAUUGGAGCGGCCGAUGUCAGAUUAGGUAGUUGGUGGGGUAAAGGCAUACCAAGCCGACGAUCUGUAGUUGGUCUGAGAGGACGACCAGCCCCACUGGGGCGGGGACACGGCCCAGACUCCUACGGGAGGCAGCAGUGGGGAAUUUUGGACAAUGGGCGCAAGCCUGAUCCAGGAAUGCCGCGUGCAGGAAGAAGGCCUUCGGGUUGUAAACUGCUUUUGUCAGGGAAGAAAUCCUCUGGGUUAAUACCCCGGGGGGAUGACGGUACCUGAAGAAUAAGCACCGGCUAACUACGUGCCAGCCGCCGCUGUAAAAC
rnacentral:rRNA from 1 species